rnacentral:rRNA from 1 species
UACGUAGGGGGCAAGCGUUGUCCGGAAUCAUUGGGCGUAAAGAGCGUGUAGGCGGCUUGGUAAGUCCGCUGUGAAAGUCCAGGGCUCAACCCUGGAAAGCCGGUGGAAACUGUCAAGCUUGAGUCCGGAAGAGGCGAGUGGAAUUCCUGGUGUAGCGGUGAAAUGCGCAGAUAUCAGGAGGAACACCAAUGGCGAAGGCAGCUCGCUGGGACGGUACUGACGCUGAGGUGCGAAAGCGUGGGGAGCAAACGGG